CAUUAAGAAGCUAUGAACCAGCGCUAGCCUUUUAAGCUAGAGAAAGAGGAUGUACACCCCUCCUUAAUGA
rnacentral:tRNA from 1 species